AUGGCUAAGUACUGGUGGGGGAGUUCGAUCGAUAAGACAUCUCUCCAUUGGAUCUCCUGGGAUAAACUCUGUACACCGAAGAGCAAGGGCGGCAUGGACUUUCGAGACCUACAACUUUUCAAUUUGGCAAUUCUUGGAAAGCAAGGCUGGCGGCUGAUUACCCAUCCGGACUCUCUCUGCUCACGAGUUUUGAAGGGAAGAUACUUCCCUGAUAGUGACUUCCUUCAUGCAAUAGUUCCUGCUCGUGCGUCAGCUACUUGGCGAGCGAUUGUUGCUGGUAGGAAAUCACUGGAUGUUGGCUUAAUUCAUAGAGUGGGGGACGGGACCUCUAUUGCAACAUGGACUGAUAGUUGGAUCCCCAACACACUCUCGCUCAAACCGAUGGGGCGCCUCGAUAAUGCUCCUUUGGAUAUAAUUUCAGAACUUAUUGAUGCAUACGCAGGUAACUGGAAUGUUCAGAUUGUUCGUGAAAAUUUUCUUUAG
rnacentral:rRNA from 1 species